rnacentral:rRNA from 1 species
GCAGCAUUUCAGUUUGCUUGCAAACUGGAGAUGGCGACCGGCGCACGGGUGAGUAACACGUAUCCAACCUGCCGAUAACUCGGGGAUAGCCUUUCGAAAGAAAGAUUAAUACCCGAUGGCAUAAUUAGACCGCAUGGUCUUAUUAUUAAAGAAUUUCGGUUAUCGAUGGGGAUGCGUUCCAUUAGGCAGUUGGUGAGGUAACGGCUCACCAAACCUUCGAUGGAUAGGGGUUCUGAGAGGAAGGUCCCCCACAUUGGAACUGAGACACGGUCCAAACUCCUACGGGAGGCAGCAGUGAGGAAUAUUGGUCAAUGGACGAGAGUCUGAACCAGCCAAGUAGCGUGAAGGAUGACUGCCCUAUGGGUUGUAAACUUCUUUUAUAUGGGAAUAAAGUUUUCCACGUGUGGAAUUUUGUAUGUACCAUAUGAAUAAGGAUCGGCUAACUCCGUGCCAGCAGCCGCGGUAAUACGGAGGAUCCGAGCGUUAUCCGGAUUUAUUGGGUUUAAAGGGAGCGUAGGUGGACAGUUAAGUCAGUUGUGAAAGUUUGCGGCUCAACCGUAAAAUUGCAGUUGAUACUGGCUGUCUUGAGUACAGUAGAGGUGGGCGGAAUUCGUGGUGUAGCGGUGAAAUGCUUAGAUAUCACGAAGAACUCCGAUUGCGAAGGCAGCUCACUGGACUGCAAC